rnacentral:misc_RNA from 1 species
AACAUCGCGCACCUGCGGGAACCUGCGGAAGGAUCAUUACAGAGUUAUCCAACUCCCAAACCCAUGUGAACUUAUCUCUUUGUUGCCUCGGCGCAAGCUACCCGGGACCCAGCGCCCCGGGCGGCCCGCCGGCGGACAAACCAAAACUCUUGUUAUCUUAGUUGAUUAUCUGAGCGUCUUAUUUAAUAAGUCAAAACUUUCAACAACGGAUCU